rnacentral:misc_RNA from 1 species
GAACUGCGAUAAGCAAUGCGAAUUGCAGAAUCCGCGAGUCAUUAGAUUUUCGAACGCAGCUGGCGCGGCAGGGGAAACCCCGGCCGCAGGUUUGCUUCAGUGUCUUUGAUUAUCAUAAAUCUAAAUGUGAUUGAACUUCGGUUCUCUCAUUAAACUUGAGCGUGUUGCUCUUUCAACCUAAUGAAGUAGUCACUGUCCGAAAGGAACUGGUGAUUUCGUUAGCUCUUGGAGAGUUAGGGCGCAGAGUGAAUAGUCUUUCAUCAUACAUUUUGACCUGAAGUCAAGCCAGAGCACCCGCUGAACUUAA